CCAUCUCAAAACAAAAUAAAACAAAACAAUCUCCUAACCCACGUAUCUUUAAAGUCAUUAACUUCAUUAACAAAGCCCUAUUUAUAAUUUCUAUUAUGAUAACUAAUAAAACUUCUGGUGUUGAACAGAGAUGAAAGUAACUGAAAUGGCUCUGGAGUGGCCUUUUGAGUAAAUGCUGGCUUAAUACUCCAGCAGUGUGUUUUCCUGCUUAGGGUCACUAGACAUCCAUGAUGUAGAAUAAAAUAAACUGAUAUGGUUUGGGUCUGUGUCCCUGCCCAAAUCUCAUGUUGAAUUGUAAUCCCCAGUUUUGGAGGAGGGGUUUGGGAGAUGAUUGGAUCAUGGGGUUGAAUUUCUGCCUUGCUGUUCUUGUGAUAGUGAGUAAGUCUAAUGAGAUCUGGUUGCUUAAAAGUGUAUCACACCUCCCCCUUCACCCUCUUUUCCUUCUCUGGCCAUGUAGGACGUGCCUGCUUCUCUUUUGCCUUCCACCAUGAUUGUAAGUUUUCUGAGGCCUUCCCAGCCAUGCUUCCUGUACAGCAUGCAGAACCAUGAGCCAAUUAAACCUCUUUUUAAAAAAAUUAAUUGCCCAGUCUCAGGUAUGUCUUUAUGGCAAUGUAAGAAUGGACUAAUACACUGACACAGACUUGCAGAGCUCACUGAAUCUACACUGAAUGACGUUAAAGCGCAUUGGCGGCAAUAUAACAUGAUGAUACCCAUAUAUGGCAAAAAUAACAAAGGUGGAUCAAAAAUGACUAAUAUCUUGGAAUCACCGAGAUAAUCCAAAUACAACACUUUAUUAUUAUGUCUUACCAUAUCACGAUUUAGUAGAAUUUUGUAAUAUUAUGGACAGAAGCCUUUGAUGCUAUGGGAUGACCAGAAUUUUCUCAUUUCCCUUUGCCAGGAUAUGAACAGAAGCAGGCAGAGGAUGAAGCUGAUGGUGUGCAUGGUCACUGUGCUCCUGCCCAUUUUUGAGCUUCUGGAAUACAAGCUGUGCCUUUGCCUGGAAUGUCCCUCCCAGUCUGACUAGGCAUCUUCUGAUGGGGUUUGACCUGGUUGCUUCUAACACUAGGAUGGACCUCUUGGCAAUCUCUGGAUAUCUUUCUGUGGUUUGUUAUAAUGGUAAUUAUUACUUAUCUGGCUGCUUCACAUUGAUUAAUUAGUGGCGGAUAAGAAAACCAGAUGGCUAGCUGUGUUGUAACGGAGCUACAUGAUCUCUAUCCUCUAAGGUUUUCUAGUGAUUCUUUUUCAGGUUUUUUUAUGUUUUGUUUUUGACCUUAAAUAUAGACCACAAGGGUGUAGAGUGAUACGCAAAGCAGAACUCUUGAUUUAUAUUUUCUCCUCAAACUUUCAUCUUCCCCAAUUACCCACAGUGCAUGGUAAUACCAUCCAUUUAAUUUCUUAAGACAAAAAAGCCUGGGACUUAGCAAUUGAUCAUGAGUCUGUCUUUCCCUAGACCCAAGCCAUCAGCAAGUCCUAUCCAUUCUACCUGCAUGGCACCCCUCAAAUUCAUCUUCUUCUCUCUACCUCCAUGGUCCAGGUUCCCAGCAUUCUUGUCUGCACCGCUAACUCUUUAUUUUUAUUCUCCGUUGUCCAGCAAGUGAUUGGAAUCAUGUUUUAAGACAAAUUUGAUCAUGUUGCUCCUUUGCUCAAAGAUGCCCAAAUGGCUCCCUGCUGCACGUGGGAUAAAAAGUCAGGCCUUUACCUUGGCCCUGGAAGCAACACUCUGGCCCCUGCUAACUUCUCCAACUUCAGUUGGUACCAUUCCAUUCUCCACUUCUCACUGUGCUUCAGCCACACUAGCGCUCUUUUUGUUCCUUGAACUGGGCAAAUCAUUCCAUUGCCAGAGCUUUUUCAUCACCUGUUUCCUCCCUUUGGAAUAUGCUUCCCUCCAGUCUUCACAUGGCUGACUCACCUGUACUUUCAGAUCUUGAAUUAAAUGACACCUCUUCAGAGAAGCCUUCCCUGACCACUCCAUUUGGAAUAACAUGACCUCCCUCCCCUCUGUACACAGAGUCUUACUCUCUCAUAUCAUCUUGUUUCAAGUUCUUCCCAACAUGCACCACCAGAUUUUCUAUUUGUUGUCUCUCUUCCCCCAGUCAGAAUGAACUCUAUCAGAGCAGGAACCACUGUGGCUCCAGCACCUAGACAUACAAUAGGCUCUCAAAAUGUUUGUUGAAUGAAUGAAUAGAUCAGUCAAUAGUAACCUAAGAAUAAACUGAGAGUCAGGCAUCCUGGGUUCAAAUCUUACCUGGCUGCUCUCAAGCUAUGUGACUUUGAAUAUGUCAUGUGUGGGCUCUGGGCCUCCCUCUCAAUAUCUCUAAAAUGAGAUCUGAUUUAAUGAUCCCUAAAGUCCUUUGCAGCUUUCAGAUAUACUCUGAUCCUAUCAGCCGUUCAAUAUUGUUGACCAUAAAAAAUGGUCAAAGACGCUGAUGACAGCAAUGACCCCAGCUAUAGUUGAACUAUUUUUUAAUCCCAUGAGACAUCCCAGGCUACAUUUUAUUUAUGAUUUAUAUUUAAGUAUCAUAUCCAAAAAGUAUUUGAUGCAGCUCAAGUUUCAGACCCACUUCCCCAAAGAAGUCCUUACUUGCACCAUUUAUACAGGGAGAAGAAGAAGCACUCCCAUCUAGAUUGCUGUAUCAGAAUGGACUGUUAUGAUUGCAAAUGGCAGAAACCUAACUCAAUGCAACUAUAACAAUGAGGGAAAUGUCUUGGCAGCUCUUGAAAUCCAUGGAAGAACAAAAUGAUCCAGGUGCUGGAGGGACAGCAACAGAGCUGGACCUCAGGUGCUGCUGGAGCCAGAGGCUCAAUUUUCACUAGUCUUCCUUCCAGCUUCAUCUCUGUCUCUAUCAGUGUAUUGAUAUUCUUCUCUCUCAAUACAGCCUGGUUCUUUCCACAUAGUCCCAGCGCAGCAUUUAUCACACUCUGUAUUAACUUAUUUAUUUGUUUUCUUGCUUACUUUCAGUCUCUCAGUACAAUAAAAUAUGUUGAAGGCAAAAAUCCUAUGCAUUUCUGUGUCCCUUGCACCCAGUGAAGUGUCUGGAGCAUAGAAGAUGCUCAAUAAAUAUUAAUUGCAUAAAUCAGUGGUAGAAAACAUAGCAACCAACUUAUUCAGUGUUUAAUAUCCAACAACUUUAGUUCCUGGAAAAAAGCUAACAAAACUCUCUAGGGUUCUGCUCAAAAAAUAAAAUGAGUUAAUGAGAAAAACAAGUAAAAUCUCAGGGAAGGGACUUAUUUGUCCAGCUAGGCCAUAUGCUUACCCUUGGACCAAACAGUAGUAACUAUUGCCUGUGAUAAUGUCUUUGCAUCUAUGUGAAGCAGGGGAGGAGAAUCUUUUAGAAAAAGGUCAUAGGAGGAAAUCCCAGAGGAGUCAACACACUCACAGAGUUGUUGUGGAGAUCAAAUGAGCCAUUGCAGAAGAGGGUGCUUUGGAGAGCUAUUAUGAAGUUCCCAUUUUUGUAGGUCAAAAUUGAUCAAAUAUUGGCAAUUUUAUAUAUUUCCACUUAAUGUAAAAGUGUUAAAGAUGUUAUAUGGAUGUAAAAUAUGACUAAUUUGAUUUCAAGUCAGCAGAAUAAGAAAAGAAAACCAUGUUUUUAAGAUGAAGGGUUAAGUUGAUUCCCUUUUAUAAUGAUGGUAGCCGAAUAUGGUUAGCAUGUGCUAGCUUUAUGGGGAGCAGUGCUACAUGGGUUAUCUCAUUUUUUUCUUCCAACCCUUCCAUGAGAUAGGUACUAAUAAUUACAUCCCCAUUCUACAGACAAAGAAACUAAAGUUUCAAUGAGGUUAAACUAUUUGCUCCAGAUGACACAGUUCAAAAAG
rnacentral:lncRNA from 10 species